UGGGGAAUAUUGCACAAUGGAGGGAACUCUGAUGCAGCGACGCCGCGUGAGUGAUGAAGGAAUUCGUUUCGUAAAACUCUGUUCUAUGGGAAGAAAAGGACUGUACCAUAGGAGAAAGCUCCGGCUAAAUACGUGCCAGCAGCCGCGGUAAUACGUAUGGAGCGAGCGUUGUCCGGAAUUAUUGGGCGUAAAGGGUGCGCAGGCGGCUUUACAAGUUGGAUGUGAAAUAUUGUGGCUCAACCACAAACGUGCAUCCAAAACUGCAAAGCUUGAGUUAAGGAGAGGUAAGUGGAAUUCCUGGUGUAGCGGUGGAAUGCGUAGAUAUCAGGAGGAAUACCGGUGGCGAAGGCGACUUACUGGACUUAAACUGACGCUCAGGCACGAAAGCGUGGGGAGAAAAAAGG
rnacentral:rRNA from 1 species